UCAAAACACCCCCCGUGGGUCCGCCACUGACUGACACGUAGUUUAACCCCCAAUAUCCCCCGGUUGGAUCCGCCACUGUCUAUGGUACUUACUUCUGGUGCUUAAUCGGUCUGUUAUCUGUAUCUGAUCGCUUCUGGCAAUCGUUCCUCUUCAUCAGCCAAAGGUAGACAGUUAUGUCAUUCGCUUAUUGGGCUGUAACGAUUUGCAAAUGCAUUCCGGUGUAAGUAAGAGACCAUAUAAGUGUCAAGGGUACCAAUUGACAUAGACCGUUUUGCAGUAUCACCGACGAUAUUUUACAAAACCUUUAUUACU